ACGAGGGCUGGGCUUGAAGGUGGGGGGGAGGGGAGGGUGUCGAGAAGGGCCUUCUGGAACAGAGCAAAGCCCUGAGAAUGGAGUGGCCAGCAUGUAGGAUGUUGAGAGAGGGCAAAGAGGAAAAGAUGGGGCAGCAGCUGUAGGCCAGGACCAAACUGCACAGGCCUUUGUGCCACGUGAAGGGACUUGAAAGAAACCUGAGGUUUGAGAGAAAGACAUGUGAGGUAAAUUCUCCUGUGAAGUGCUUAUAGAAUUGCUACUCCAUCAGCAAGGAAACCGCAGACCAGGGCAUAAGUACUGUGAAUUUAAAGCAACCUUGGAUUAAAUUCCUCAGGUAAGCCUGCUAGUCAUGUCUCCCCAGUGCCUAUUUAUCCAGAUGUCCUUUUGGGAUGGGACAGGACUGGUUUUUAAUGACUCUGAACUGCCUUCCCUAGGCACUGGAGGCUGCGUUUUGCUGACUGUGGAAGCUCUUUGUGUGAGCUCGCAGGCUGCUGUGUGUAAGGAAGAUUCGGCUCUCCCCUUGUCCCUGCGUGCCUGCCCAUGUCAGUUUCUCCAUCUCUGAAAUGGGGAUUAUAACCUCGCAGGAGGCCUUUGUGGCAACAGAUAAUUUUGUUAAGAAAAAUAAAGAUUUAUGGUUUUAAAAUAUGCACGUCUAAAAUAGCUACUGGUGCUGUUUGGCUGUCUUUGCCUGAAUUUCUCUAUGCCUGUAAGUGAGAUUCAGCAUUUUCUUGUGGACUGUGAAUUGUUGCUACUAAAUGAGCUUGUCAGUCUCUGCUAAAGAACAAAAUGUCCUUGGAUUUACCCCACACUGCAUUGCUUUAUGCACUUACACCGGAGUGCUAAAUACGGAAUGUGCCCAAUUCUGAUUUUUCCCCAGAAGGCUGCAGCUCCAGAAGGGACACUGGUAUACACAGCCACUCCCCAGAGCCACGUAGAAGCCUCGGGAGCCUUUGGACUUGGCUCUGCCGCAGACUUGCCCCCACGCGGGGCCUGGGCGGGAUGCUGCCCACUAGACUUCCUUUCUCAUCUGCAGAAUCUCAGCUCUGGCACUCGUCCGGAAGAGCCGAUCUUUGCUGCUUUAACUUCUCGUAGUUGGCAUUGAAUUUUUGGGCUUUUUCUUUGUGGUUUGUGACUCCUAAUUCCAAACCUUCUGGUUAUUGUAAAAUAAGCAACAGGAACAAUCCAGAUGCCUUUGGGGUAUAUCUCCUUACUCUGAGGACCAGGUCUUUGAUGUGAAAGGUGGAAGUUUGCCUGACUUAAGGAGAAUACUUUGUGUCCCAGGGUACUGCUGGGUGUUCAUGGCCUCUCAGGGCUGCCUCCAGCGGAUAAGGAGGGUACAGAAAAUAACGGACCCUGGGUCCCCAGGCCCCUGACACUCUGUUGAAACAAGCAUCCUUAUUUGUUACCUGAUUUGCCUGCAAGAUUUUGCAUAAGAUACAAGAAAAGGGUUCUGCUGCUUAAAAAAAAAAAGA